GUUCUGGGGCUCAUGUUGAGAGCAGGAUCUCUGAAGCCAGGCAGUCUUGAGUUUGAAUUUCUGCUAUGCCACUUAGAGGCUGAGUGACCUGGGACAAGCUACUGAACAUCUCUGGGCCUCAUUUCCCCUUUCUGAAAAAUGGGGACAGGACCCACUUCAUAAGAUUGUUGUAAGGGGUGGAUUAGAAAAUACAAAGAGCCUAGCAAAGUGCUUCUUAUUUAGUAAAUAUUCGAUAAAUGUUGAUGCAGCCAGAGUGAAAUGUAUUUUAUAAAGUUCAAUGAGCAUAAAUUUCAUUGCUUUGUUAAACAACUCAAUCUUUAUUUUAAGGCAAGAGUUAGAAAACAGCCAAUUUAGUGUUGUCCACUUUCCUGGGGAUAGGCUUUGUGCCAACAGGGUGCUAGGGGGACAAGGGUGGCCAUCAGUAAGCUCUGCUGGCAUCUGGUAAGUCAUUCUCAUUCUCAUCUGGCCUCUCGUCACCUGUUUGCACUGGUCCCUACUGUGACCUUCCUUCCUAAGCAAGGCCUCCUCUAUUCGUCAGCUCCCUGGGCUGCAGCUGGGCUGCUCAGAAGGUCUGAGAAGACUGCAUCUGCCUCUUGUCUCUUCGCUGUUGGAAACCCUCCCCAUAGAAGUAGAGGGAGCCAUUGUCUCUGGCCACCACACGAGACCCUGUGAGGCUGUGUGUACCCUCUGGUCAGAUCUCCCCCUCUUUCCUCUACUCUUCCGUUAUACUGGUGGUCUUGCUCCUUCUGUGGGAACAGAGACUCUGGCAUCUUCAGCUUUGAAAUUGCUUAAACAUAUCUGCUUGGAGGUGGGAUAGGUGAGUCAAGCUUCAAUGUCCUUCACUCUGACCCCAGGGUGUCUAAAUGCUCUUAAUUUCUUCAGAUUAUCCUCCACCACCAGGGCUAUUUAUCUAACCUCAGGGACAGUAAAUAGGUCUGUGGCUCAGAAGCUCCUUUCCAAGGAGUUUUUGAGGCCUGCAUUCCUGGCUCACCAAUACUUUUCACCCGUUUUGUUUUUACAUCUUUUUCUAGAGGGAAUGGAUGCCACAUGGUGCAGCUGCCUAAAAGCUAAGAAGGGGUCAUGGGGUAACAGGAAAUGCCAAAGAAAAACAAUAAUUGGCAUAAAGAUUGAGGCCCAGAAGAGGAAAAGGAAGUGACCAAGAUCACCCAGAAAGAAGGUUCCAACUGCAGCUUGACUUCAGGUGAUGUAGCUCCCACCUGGCCAGGUAUCUUUUCCAGUAU
rnacentral:lncRNA from 1 species